CAGCCGCCACGGUAAUACAGAGGGUGCGAGCGUUAAUCGGAUUUACUGGGCGUAAAGCGUGCGUAGGCGGCUUCUUAAGUCGGAUGUGAAAUCCCUGAGCUUAACUUAGGAAUUGCAUUCGAUACUGGGAAGCUAGAGUAUGGGAGAGGAUGGUAGAAUUCCAGGUGUAGCGGUGAAAUGCGUAGAGAUCUGGAGGAAUACCGAUGGCAAAGGCAGCCAUCUGGCCUAAUACUGACGCUGAGGUACGAAAGCAUGGGGAGCAAACAGGAUUAGAUACCCGCGUAGUCCCUGUCUCUUAUAC
rnacentral:rRNA from 1 species